rnacentral:rRNA from 1 species
CCUACGGGUGGCAGCAGUGAGGAAUAUUGGUCAAUGGUCGGGAGACUGAACCAGCCAAGCCGCGUGAGGGAUGAAGGUACAGAGUAUCGUAAACCUCUUUUGUCAGGGAAUAAAGGCGGGGACGUGUCCCCGGAUGAGUGUACCUGAAGAAAAAGCAUCGGCUAACUCCGUGCCAGCAGCCGCGGUAAUACGGAGGAUGCGAGCGUUAUCCGGAUUUAUUGGGUUUAAAGGGUGCGCAGGCGGUCUGUUAAGUCAGCGGUCAAAGCCCGGGGCUCAACCCCGGCCCGCCGUUGAAACUGGCAGUCUCGAGUUGGAGAGAAGUAUGCGGAAUGCGCGGUGUAGCGGUGAAAUGCAUAGAUAUCGCGCAGAACUCCGAUUGCGAAGGCAGCUUACCAAACUACGACUGACGUUGAGGCACGAAAGCGUGGGGAGCAAACAGGAUUAGAUACCCGAGUAGUC